GCUGACGUAGCUUAACUAAAGCAUGACGCUGAAGACGUCAAGAUGGGCCCUAGAAAGCCCCGUGAGCA
rnacentral:tRNA from 1 species